GACGAACGCUGGCGGCGUGCCUAAUACAUGCAAGUUGAGCGCGGAAGGGUGGUACUUGUACCAACUGGAUGAGCAGCGAACGGGUGAGUAACGCGUGGGGAAUCUGCCUUUGAGCGGGGGACAACAUUUGGAAACGAAUGCUAAUACCGCAUAAAAACUUUAAACACAAGUUUUAAGUUUGAAAGAUGCAAUUGCAUCACUCAAAGAUGAUCCCGCGUUGUAUUAGCUAGUUGGUGAGGUAAAGGCUCACCAAGGCGAUGAUACAUAGCCGACCUGAGAGGGUGAUCGGCCACAUUGGGACUGAGACACGGCCCAAACUCCUACGGGAGGCAGCAGUAGGGAAUCUUCGGCAAUGGACGAAAGUCUGACCGAGCAACGCCGCGUGAGUGAAGAAGGUUUUCGGAUCGUAAAACUCUGUUGGUAGAGAAGAACGUUGGUGAGAGUGGAAAGCUCAUCAAGUGACGGUAACUACCCAGAAAGGGACGGCUAACUACGUG
rnacentral:rRNA from 1 species